rnacentral:ncRNA from 1 species
CCAUCCCUCCGCAGCUAGCUUCUUAGAGGGACUAUCGCCGUUUAGGCGACGGAAGUUUGAGGCAAUAACAGGUCUGUGAUGCCGCUAGAUGUUCUGGGCCGCACGCGCGCUACACUGAUGUAUUCAACGAGUAUAUAGCCUUGGCCGACAGGCCCGGGUAAUCUUGGGAAAUUUCAUCGUGAUGGGGAUAGAUCAUUGCAAU